rnacentral:lncRNA from 1 species
UGGCCAUGGUUGGUAACCAGCUUGAAGCCAGGACGCCGGUGCCUUCAGCGUUGUCCUCUCUCCAGCUUCGGCCCUCGGGGCCUCGUGUGGUGCCCAGGCAAGUUUAGGGCUGUUUGUUGUACUCCUGUGAAAAACGCCACUGGGAUUUUAGUGGCGAUGGCCUUGAGUCUGUAGGUUGCUUUGGGUCGUGUGGACAUUUUAACAGUUGUAAUUCUUCCCAUCCAUGAACAUCGUGGCCUUCUAGGUAUGUAAUAGCUUUCCACUGAUCUGUUUCUGCUUAAGUUUCCUUAAUUGGUAUUUUACACAAGUCUUUCAGCCUCCCCCCCGGUUGAGUUUAUACCUAAGAAUUUUGUUCAUGUUCUUCAAUAGUUUUUAGAUCGCUUGUUGAUAGCCUGCCACUGUACAGCACGUGCUCAGUAGGUCUGACAAGUGCUGUGCAUCCUCCUCCCCCGUCCCCAAGGGACUCUGCUCGACCUCCGGGCGAGACAGUGGUCCUCCUGGGCAGCGUCCACGUCUGGGAAGACCGUGCUCCUUAGCCCUCACUUCCCCUUUAAUGGCAGGCUGAGGGCUGAGGGUGCAGAGCUGCAGGGUGCCUCCUCGUGGGUUUUCUCCCCUGGGUGCUGGAACCCCUCAGCUGAAUGCCAGGCUCCCAGAGAUCCUUG